GGGCCCGCACAAGCGGUGGAGCAUGUGGUUUAAUUCGAUGCAACGCGAAGAACCUUACCUGGUCUUGACAUCCUGUGCUAUGCUUAGAGAUAGGCAGUUCUUUUUCGGAGACGCAGUGACAGGUGCUGCAUGGCUGUCGUCAGCUCGUGUCGUGAGAUGUUGGGUUAAGUCCCGCAACGAGCGCAACCCUUGUUCUUAGUUGCUAACGGUUCGGCCGAGGACUCUAGGAAGACUGCCAGUGUUAAGCUGGAGGAAGGUGGGGAUGACGUCAAGUCCUCAUGGCCCUUAUGACCAGGGGCUACACACGUGCUACAAUGCUACGGACAAAGGGGCAGCAAACUCGCGAGAGCUG
rnacentral:rRNA from 1 species